rnacentral:tRNA from 1 species
GCGGUUGUGGCGGAAUGGCAGACGCGCUACUUUCAGGAGGUAGUGUCUUUAUGACGUGUGGGUUCGAGUCCCAUCAACCGCACCA